rnacentral:rRNA from 1 species
UACGACGGCCAAAGCGGUGGGGAUACACCCGUUAACCCGGAAGUUAAGCCCACCCACGUUCUCUGCGGUACUGCGGAGCGCGAGCCCGUGGGAAGCUUACCCUCCUUCGGGA